AACUUUUCUCCUCUAUUUAUUCAGAUCGUAGCUAUGGAUGCAGCAAAAAGCAAACAGAAGUUUGACUAGAUAUAUGAGCUCAGUAUUCCACAACAUUGAAAGCUGAUGUGUACUUACGUAGGAGGCUUAAAACAUAACGUUAGGUUAAAAUGAAUAAUAGCCCCAACAGGAAAAAAAAUAGUGCAUUCUAAAGAAGUUCUUAGCGGGAAUGUUCAGAAGCUUGGUUGGUUUGACUGACACUAGCUCUGCAUGUCUCCUUCUUGGUAGCUCCUUAAUGCAGACCUCUGUUGCUCCCUGACUUCUCCAUUGGGUCACAUGUGGCCAGUAGCAUGAGCAUAAUAUCCCUAUCAUUGUUGUCUCGCAGGGUGAGAGUUCGGAAGGAGCCAUAUUUACUUUUAGGCCACCCUCUUUAUUUAUCUAGCACGUGGGGUGGGACCGUGACCGAAGGAGGGCUCCAUGCACAUCUCCUGUGUUGUUGGAGGAGGUAGUGUUGGUAACGGGCAAGGAGCAGAGUCAUUUGGUUCCAGCAAAGCUGCUUCCAUCAGAUUGGUCCUGCCCCUUGGCUGGACUUCGCUUCAUCAUCUCUAAAAUGAGAUUAAAGAUUGUUUCUCCCUCAUGGGAAGGCUCCGGGAUUCAGUGAGCUUAUGCCUGUUUAGGGCUGUAGAAAUGGCCAGGAAGAAAACCACCCCCUCUUAAGGCUGUUUUUGUGACCAUUCUUUGGAGCAUUGUUCUAAAAAUGGGAAAUUACAUAUUGCUGUGCCAAGAGCAACAAACACCUGCAGUUAAAGGAAUACCUUCCACGAGGCGGCUUUUCGGAGUAUGCAUGAUUAUAGCUCCAGCCAGGCCGGACCAAGGGCUGCUGCAGAAGCUCUGCUUGGUGCAUUUCUUUACUUGCAAGGGGACAGAGUGUGGGCUUAGGUUUGGGACUAGACGGGGCUUUGGCAGCUAUGGGGCUCAGGUGAUUAUCCUUCACUCAUUUAUCCAAUAAACAUUUAUCAAGCAUCUA